rnacentral:lncRNA from 1 species
UUCUGUAAUGACUCCAUGUCAAAUAGGUACUCUUCAAAAUAAAGUACAAAAAGUUGUGAAUUUUCCAGUCUUAGAGGAAAAGACCUGAACAAUCCAUCAGCAACCCAUGAGCCAGCAGAACAAAAGAUGACAGAACUGGGGCUGGCAGAGCAAGGAAUGAAAAAGAACAGAUCAGUGUUCAGUUUGAAAGAGCCAUAAUUCAGCGGUCUUUCUAUACUACCUCUCAGAGGAAGGAGCCUGCGUGUCUAAAGAGAGAAGGGAAGUUUAAGUACUGGAAAAAAGGAAAGUCUUCAGCCUUGGGAAUGUAAUAACCUGGGGUCAGCUGAGAACCCUGAGGAAGACUGACCCAAUCAGCU